UACGAAGAAACUACCUAGCUAAGAAAUAAAAAUAUAAUGGAGAAUGAGAAUCAAAAUUGCUAAGUGAGGAACCAGGAUGUUGAAACUGCUUUUGCCCUGAGGAUAAUACUUAAUCCAGAAAAGAGAGCGUGCUGAAUUGCACAGGAUUGGAAUCUGUUGGUCAUGGACCAAGAAGAUUCAAGGGUAGCAGUUUCCAUAAAUGCCACCUUGGUUGACAUCUGAAAGAAGAGACUUCCAUUAGAUUACAUUUCAAUGCCACACCUGCUGCCAUGACCAAGGUA
rnacentral:lncRNA from 1 species